GAGUUUGAUCAUGGCUCAGAUUGAACGCUGGCGGCAGGCCUAACACAUGCAAGUCGAACGGUAACGGGAAGCAGCUUGCUGCUUCGCUGACGAGUGGCGGACGGGUGAGUAAUGUCUGGGAAACUGCCUGAUGGAGGGGGAUAACUACUGGAAACGGUAGCUAAUACCGCAUAACGUCGCAAGACCAAAGAGGGGGACCUUCGGGUCUCUUGCCAUCGGAUGUGCCCAGAUGGGAUUAGCUAGUAGGUGGGGUAACGGCUCACCUAGGCGACGAUCCCUAGCUGGUCUGAGAGGAUGACCAGCCACACUGGAACUGAGACACGGUCCAGACUCCUACGGGAGGCAGCAGUGGGGGAAUAUUGCACAAUGGGCGCAAGCCUGAUGCAGCCAUGCCACGUGUAUGAAGAAGGCC
rnacentral:rRNA from 1 species